GACGAACGCUGGCGGCGUGCUUAACACAUGCAAGUCGAACGGAAAGGCCCUGCUUUUGUGGGGUGCUCGAGUGGCGAACGGGUGAGUAACACGUGAGUAACCUGCCCUUGACUUUGGGAUAACUUCAGGAAACUGGGGCUAAUACCGGAUAGGAGCUCCUGCUGCAUGGUGGGGGUUGGAAAGUUUCGGCGGUUGGGGAUGGACUCGCGGCUUAUCAGCUUGUUGGUGGGGUAGUGGCUUACCAAGGCUUUGACGGGUAGCCGGCCUGAGAGGGUGACCGGCCACAUUGGGACUGAGAUACGGCCCAGACUCCUACGGGAGGCAGCAGUGGGGAAUAUUGCACAAUGGGCGGAAGCCUGAUGCAGCAACGCCGCGUGCGGGAUGACGGCCUUCGGGUUGUAAACCGCUUUCGCCUGUGACGAAGCGUGAGUGACGGUAAUGGGUAAAGAAGCACCGGCUAACUACGUGCCAGCAGCCGCGGUGAUACGUAGGGUGCGAGCGUUGUCCGGAUUUAUUGGGCGUAAAGGGCUCGUAGGUGGUUGAUCGCGUCGGAAUGUAAUCUUGGGGCUUAACCCUGAGCGUGCUUUCGAUACGGGUUGACUUGAGGAAGGUAGGGGAGAAUGGAAUUCCUGGUGGAGCGGUGGAAUGCGCAGAUAUCAGGAGGAACACCAGUGGCGAAGGCGGUUCUCUGGGCCUUUCCUGACGCUGAGGAGCGAAAGCGUGGGGAGCGAACAGGCUUAGAUACCCUGGUAGUCCACGCUGUAAACGGUGGGUACUAGGUGUGGGGUCCAUUCCACGGGUUCCGUGCCGUAGCUAACGCUUUAAGUACCCCGCCUGGGGAGUACGGCCGCAAGGCUAAAACUCAAAGGAAUUGACGGGGCCCCGCACAAGCGGCGGAGCAUGCGGAUUAAUUCGAUGCAACGCGUAGAACCUUACCUGGGUUUGACAUGGAUCGGGAGCGCUCAGAGAUGGGUGUGCCUCUUUUGGGGUCGGUUCACAGGUGGUGCAUGGCUGUCGUCAGCUCGUGUCGUGAGAUGUUGGGUUAAGUCCCGCAACGAGCGCAACCCUUGUUCACUGUUGCCAGCACGUUAUGGUGGGGACUCAGUGGAGACCGCCGGGGUCAACUCGGAGGAAGGUGGGGAUGACGUCAAGUCAUCAUGCCCCUUAUGUCCAGGGCUUCACGCAUGCUACAAUGGCUGGUACAGAGAGUGGCGAGCCUGUGAGGGUGAGCGAAUCUCGGAAAGCCGGUCUCAGUUCGGAUUGGGGUCUGCAACUCGACCUCAUGAAGUCGGAGUCGCUAGUAAUCGCAGAUCAGCAACGCUGCGGUGAAUACGUUCCCGGGGCU
rnacentral:rRNA from 1 species